rnacentral:rRNA from 1 species
UACGUAGGUGGCAAGCGUUAUCCGGAUUUAUUGGGCGUAAAGGGAACGCAGGCGGUCUUUUAAGUCUGAUGUGAAAGCCUUCGGCUUAACCGGGGUAGUGCAUUGGAAACUGGGAGACUUGAGUGCAGAAGAGGAGAGUGGAACUCCAUGUGUAGCGGUGAAAUGCGUAGAUAUAUGGAAGAACACCAGUGGCGAAAGCGGCUCUCUGGUCUGUAACUGACGCUGAGGUUCGAAAGCGUGGGUAGCAAACAGG